CCAAUAGCGUAUAUUAAAGUUGUUGCAGUUAAAAAGCUCGUAGUUGAAUUUCGGGAUCAAUAUAUCGGUCGUGCCUUGGUACGUACUGGUAUCAUUGGUUUCUCCUUUCUGACGAACCAUGAUGUCAUUAAUUUGGUGUUAUGGGAAGUUAGGACUGUUACUUUGAAAAAAUUAGAGUGUUUAAAGCAGGCUUUAGCUUGAAUACAUUAGCAUGGAAUAAUGAAAUAGGACGUUCGAACCUAUUUUGUUGGUUUCUAGGAUCAACGUAAUGAUUAAUAGGGAUAGUUGGGGGCAUUAGUAUUCAAUUGUCAGAGGUGAAAUUCUUGGAUUUAUUGAAGACUAACUACUGCGAAAGCAUUUGCCAAGGAUGUUUUCAUUAAUCAAGAACGAAAGUUAGGGGAUCGAAGACGAUCAGAUACCGUCGUAGUCUUAACCAUAAACUAUGCCGACUAGGGAUCGGAUGAUGUUAAUUUUUUAAUGACUCAUUCGGCGCCUUAC
rnacentral:rRNA from 1 species